rnacentral:misc_RNA from 1 species
AAGUCGUAACAAGGUUUCCGUAGGUGAACCUGCGGAAGGAUCAUUAAUGAUUUUUUAAGCAAUCCGAGCGAGAUAAAGCGAGGAUUGCGAAAUAUUUAAAACCCCACUCUUUUUUAACUAUAAUAUAAUAAUAAAUCAUGAUACAUGAAUUUUAAAAAAAGAUCACUUUCAACAACGGAUCUCUUGGCUCUC